GCGUGGGUGGUUCAGUUGGUUGAGCGUCUGAUUUCAGCUCAGGUCAUGAUCUCACGGUUUGUGAGUUCGAGCCCCACAUCAGGCU
rnacentral:tRNA from 1 species